UUUCCGUAGGUGAACCUGCGGAAGGAUCAUUAUUUAAUUUUAAUGAGGAGUUGGUUGUAGCUGGCCUCUGGGAUUUUUUUAAAUUAAUUGUUCCAAGGGCAUUUCGUGCACGCCCUCUCUUUCAUCAACACACACCUGUGCACUUGUGAGGCAGGUGCUGGGUUUUGAGUUCUUUAUUAAUUUAUUGGACUUCCUUCCUAACUCUGUCUACUUAAUUCACACACACUCUAUUUAAUUUAAACUGAAUGUAAUUGAUGUAACGCAUCUAAUACUAAGUUUCAACAACGGAUCUCUUGGCUCUCGCAUCGAUGAAGAACGCAGC
rnacentral:misc_RNA from 1 species